rnacentral:precursor_RNA from 10 species
GCACUGCCUUCUGAUAUGCAAUACAGGCGUGAUCAAAAGCCUAUUUAAGUCAGUGGACUGAUUCCCAAUGACUUUAAUGGGCUUUGGAUUACACCCUAAUUGCACUGAUGUUCCCUUUACUA